GUUGUGGCUCAGUGGUAGCGCACUUGCCUGGCAUGAGUGAGGUGCUGGGUUCGAUUCUCAGCACACA
rnacentral:tRNA from 1 species